AUUGUUUCUUCUUUCCUUAUUUCGUGGGUUAUGGCUGCCAUAGCCAAACAAUUCAAGCUCCAUAUCUCACCAAUAAUAACCACAAGAACACCAAUUCAAGCCCAGAAAUUUGUAAACCCAAAACAUAUUACCAUUUUUCGGACAUUUUCUCUCUCCUCUGUUUCACCACCGUGGCACCACCUUCUGACCACCGGCGCCACUUCCAUCCCCGACCCUGCGCCACCUCUCUCUGUCGCCGAGUCUAGCACGCCGUCGUGGCCCCCGCUGCUAUGGUGCGUUGUUUUGUGAAGUUGCUGCAAUUGCCCCUGCUUCUUUGGUUUCCCAAAUGGUUCAAAGAACCAAAUUUUACUCCGUAUGUUACUGCUCCUUUCUUUAAUUGAGGUUGGUAGACAAAGUAAACUUGCAUUUAAGUGGGCCUUGAUGGAACAUCUAUUAUUAUGGGCUGAUAAAAGACAGUAUAAACGCAACUAAUGAGGAAUAUACGGUGAAUUUGAGAUCUAUAGGGUGAUGAUAAAUAAGGAUUAAGCAGAUUGGAUUUUCGAACGAGGUAAUUAUUAUGUCUAGCAUUUUAUCUUAUAUGCCCGUAUAUGUUAUGUAAUUUUUAUGUUCAGCAUUUAAGCUUUAUAUGCCCGUAUAUAACAUGUGUGACUAUUAUGUGAUUAUAUGUUUAUUAUGUGUUUUAUGUGAUAAAUGAUGAUAUAUGUUUAUGAUUAUGAUCAUGACGAUAUGUUAAAGUAUUUUAUUAUUUUAUGAUGUUAAAGACGUUGUUCGGAAAUAAUUAUGAUAUUUAUAAAGUUAUUUUAAAGAAAGACGAUGUUGCUUUUGUCGGCAUGGAAAAGUGAACUGAACUAGUAAAUGGGCAAGUUACAGGUAGAGGCAAGUUAAAGUUUGGGAAACAGUUCCCCCCUGAAAAGAUGUAAGAAAAGUCCCGCCAAAGCCUGUACUUGCCAAUGAGCUGUAAAGGAAAUGAUUCCUUGCCGGCACAGUUUUCAAGAUAACGAGAUUAAAUUAGUUAUUUCCGAACAAUAAAUGCUAAUGAUUGAUAUGUGCCAAAUGAUUUUCAAAAUAAAACCGUUUUGACGGGCUGGAGUAAUAUUACUGAGUUUUCCACUCAUUUUUGUAUUUUCUGUGUUUUUCCUGUUUUCUAUUUUUAUGAUGAUGCACAGGUUCGAUUAAGGAGCUCAAGUUGCGCAAACGAUAGUUAUUACUGGAGUUGGUUAUUUAUUAUGGAGAUAUCGAGAUGGGAAGUAUUUAUAAUGGGAAUCCUGUUAUUGAGAUUUAAUUAUGAGAAUACUGUUUAUAUUUAUUUUUGGGAAAAUUUGUAUUAUUUAAGAAAUGUUAUUUGAGGAUUAUUUUAUUUGUGGGCCCAUACCCACAGGUCCCAGGGUUAAUUAAGCCUAAUUGCGCUGGCAAUGAUCAGUUAAGUACGGUUUAUUACCGAUAA